GAUGAACGCUAGCGGCAGGCUUAAUACAUGCAAGUCGAGGGGUAACAUGGUAGCAAUACUGAUGACGACCGGCAAACGGGUGCGGAACACGUACAGAACCUUCCUUUAAGCGGGGAAUAGCCCGGAGAAAUCCGGAUUAAUACCCCAUAGUAUUAUUGGGUGGCAUCACUUAAUAAUUAAAGAUUUAUCACUUAAAGAUGGCUGUGCGGCUGAUUAGGUAGUUGGUGCGGGUAACGGCCCACCAAGCCAUCGAUCAGUAACUGGUGUGAGAGCACGACCAGUCACACGGGCACUGAGACACGGGCCCGACUCCUACGGGAGGGCAGCAGUAAGGAAUAUUGGUCAAUGGACGCAAGUCUGAACCAGCCAUGCCGCGUGAAGGAUGAGGGCCCUCUGGGUUAGUAAAC
rnacentral:rRNA from 1 species